UUUUUCGAAAUAAAAGAGGAAAGGGAAAAGACUUGGACAUGAUUUCAAAAUUAGGUUACGGCAGUUAGUGUGAAGGAAAAAAAGCCAAAAAGGAGGAAGAAAUGAGAAAGGGGUGGAAUGAUAUAUUUUCUUGACUUUUAAUGCUUGUAUGAUAGUAAAACAAAGGAGGGGGUCACAAUGACAUUACUAAUAUUUCAAGGGGUCCAUAUGAAAUUUUGCUUAUGAAGAACCCAAUUUUGAAGAUGGUCAAUAAUAUCCAAGAAUUACUUUUAAAAUGUAAAAUACCCAUAACGACCAAAAAUAACUCUAGAAAUAAAAAACUAAAACUUUGGCAUUGGCAUUAUAAUUGUUUAGACUGACAUUAGGGGACG
rnacentral:lncRNA from 1 species